UGCUCCCUUCUGUCCCAAUCUCCCUCGUGGUGUAGGAGGGCCGUCCUCAGUAUAGGGCUGGCUCUUCAAGGCACAAAAGGACAAU